AGUGUUGUAAAUAUGACUUAUUGCAAGGCAAGUUUAAUAAGUCAAUGAAAAUCCAGAAGCAUCGGCUAUUUUCAAUCAUCUCUAACAAAACUGUAGAGAGAACAAUCACAAUCAACCCUCAUCAUCUCAAUUAAAUCUCUAUGGAAGGGCCAUGUACAAUCUCGAGUAAUGAACGAUAGGCAACACCUCUUAUAUGUCUCUUCUGGCUGAAAUAUCAAGAUUGGUAGCAUUCUUAUUCACAGCUUCUCAAGAAUGUAGGACUAAUUAGAUGAAUAAGAAUAAGGCUCGUGAAUUGAAAUAUCUCUUUGAGAGUCCAAGGGAAAAGAAAUGAUGCACGGAAAAAUGGGUUUAUCGUGAAAGCUAUGAAAGCUGAGAAUAGCGGAGUAGAUGAAGGUGAAAAUGAGGUUUGUGGAAAGAAUACAAUGCCUGAUAGAUUCAGGUGUUUGACUAAAAAAGCUCAUGAUAAACCUAUUAGAUGGUCUUGGUUCAUAGUUUUGGAGGCCGCAACCAGUCGGUCAUCAGCGAGGAUUUGAGGAAUCAAAACUUGAAGGUGUAUUGAUAUCCAGAAGAUAGAAAAGACUACCCAGAGUUCAAUCACAUUCCAAACAAGAAAUACCAGAAAAAUAAUCAAUGUACUGAAUGCCAGAAAAAAUAAGCUCAAAUCUAUGGACGAGGUCUGUGGUAUUGUGAACUUGCGUGCACUGAUUUUGAAUGACAAUGACAUUGUUUCAAUUUGCAAGAUUGAUAACACGAAAGAGUUGAAUACAUUAGGUAUGGAUUCCUAUUUCUCUAAUUUUAUAUUUUCAUUAAAUGGUUUGUGUGUGAUUGAGCAUGGUGUAUCAUACAUACAGUUUUUUAUUAUGCUAAUUUUGCGUAGAUCAGUGGAAUGGAUGCCAGUUAUUAUAAUUAAGAGUCUCGGUACUCUCUUAUUAGGAAAUACAGUAAAUUGUAACUUCUGCAAUAUAAAUCUGAAUAACCUAUUACUGUGACCGAUUAUGGUGUUACUUUUGGGAUUCUGGAGAUUAAACUUAUGAGGAUAUCACUAAGAUCCACUCAAGAGAGCAAGAAUAUAUCUCGAGAAAGCUCAAAUCCUUCUAAUAGGUUGCUAUUAUUUGACAUGCCUAGGCAUUCGGUUUUAAAGUUAAGACAAAGACAGGUUUCAGCCAUAUAGUAUGCCAUAGAGAUACUAAUCUGUUUUAUCUAAAAGAAUUAGAAGAAAUUGGUUGGCUUCCUGAGCAUUUGUUCACAGAACAUGGUUUGGUAUCAAGAAGAUAGCAAGAUUUUUGGUACUUAGUUACAUCAUGAAUAGUUGGAUAUGUUUAGGUGAAAGAGAUAAAACGAAUAACAAUGCCAAUUUUCUUAUAAUUUUCCUUGUCAUAUCCUUUUAACCUAUUUCAUGAUUUGGGCUAUUAAUAAAAUUUAGAAGUUAGGAUGCCAUUCCCAUCUUAUAUUAACCUAACUAAUCAGAGUUUCAUAGUGGUUCGAGAAAUUAUAAUAACUAUAGAAGAUAGUAGACUUACUAUAUUCACUUCUUUCACAUUCCGUUUUACCCUUUUUUAAGUACCAUUAAGAUAGAACUUUAUCUUAUUCUUAAAUUUCACUUCUCUAGAAAUUAUUGUAGUUAAAUUCCUGAAGUUGAAUUCACCCAUCCCGAAACCUUGCUCUUCCUCCCCAUCUCAAUCUGAUUAAAAGCUUUUUCAUCGCUCAAUGUUAAACUUGGAGUACCAUAGUCAACAACUUCAGCCUGAACUCAACAUGGUAAUGCAGAAUUAUCUACCCAUAGAUGCAAAUUCUCAUCCAUUAAAAAAAAUGGGAUACUAUCGCCACUCCAAGACUCAAAAAGUGAGUUGUAUCAUCAAACAGAAGCCCCAAAAAUUGUGUUAAAUCAUCAUAUAGAUCAAAGGCUGAAAUCAGUUCCCAAAACAAAGGAUCGAUUCCUCCCUAAAACCCACUGGAAAUGGUACCAAAAAUCCCACCAAAUUUGGAGAUAUCUUCAACAAAACAACCUUAUACUCAGCUUCACGUCCUUCUCUUUGUUGUUAAAUAGUUCGUAUAUAUGAAUCCGGUGGAUUUAAGUACGAAAAAUCAUUAUUCCCAUGAAAUGAUGCAUAAAUCUCCAUCACUGUUUUAUAAGUAUUCCACAGAAUCACAACACCCAUCCAAUUCCCAUUCCGACUUACUCUAGGAAAUGACCCCAGCAAUUUGAGGUACAUCUUUCUACUAGAAUAAAGAACAACUCCUUGUUCUCCAGUUCUUCAAAAGCAUUUAAUCCAAAAACUUCCAUAUAUUUUGAAGCUUUCAGCACUUUCUUGAUGCUCCAGGAAUCUCGAUUUGUAGUAGCAUCUCAAUUGCCCUUCUUUUAUGUAGUCUAUAGGUGAACCCACCUGACCCAAAAUCUGUCUUUCUUAUUACUCAUAUUCCACAACAAUUUACUAUCAGCUUUGUUAGAAUAUGAGUAGGAAUAGGAAUAACAUAUAGAAUCCUCUUAGGAAAAGGAUUGUAACGUAGUAUCCUAUUAGGAAAAGGAUUGUAACGUAGUAUCCUAUUAUGAAAAGGAUUGGAAUAUAGUGUCUAGAAAUAAGGCCUCAAUGUAAUAAUACCGUUACAACAAUUCAAUAAUAAUUUUCUCUUAUAUUUCUUCACAUGGUAUCAGAGACAGGUUCACCCAAUUCAUUGUUUUCGAUGUUGGGCCCCUCGUCUUAUAUUGUCCACGCUUCAGAUGUCCAGCCCAAGCUCCAUUACUUUAUCAUGGUAUCAGAACAGGCCCACCCAGUUCAUUGUUUCCGAUGUUGGGCCCCCCGUCUUAUAUUGUCCACGCUCCAGAUGUCCAGUCCUGGGUGUGCGGGGGUGUUGGAGGUCCUUGGUCUCCCUAUAUGAUUUUGGGCAAUCCUCCCCUCAUAAGCUAGCUUUUGAGGUUGAUUUAGGCCCAAGGUCCAUUUCUUUAUCAAGCUUCAUCACUCACUCUCUUUGGUAAUAGAAGUAUCUAAGACCAAUAUGUAUGAAUAGAAAAAAAAUACUUUUCAGUAGGCACAUUUUGCCAGCAAAGGACAAACACUUUUGCUUUCCAUGAACUAAUUGUUCUUAGCAUUUUCUAUCUAGAAGAGGUUGGCAUUGAACUAAAAGCAUCAAAUUAGGCUCCCAAUAUUAUGUUUAAUAAUCGAAAAAUCCCCAACAGCCGGCUGGGAUAAGGUUCGAAACUUACAGGAUAUUGGAUUCCAUCUACCCUCUAAUGUAUGUUUUAAAUGUACAUUUAUUGUUUACAUGUACUACAAAAAUGAUCUGCUCAUUGGAUGUCACAAAUGCACUGAAAAGAAUGUGACAAAACAUAGUCAUUACUAUGGAUGCAGAAAGGCAUUUCACACAGCUUUCAAGACCCUUUUAAGCCUCCCUCCCCCCUUUAUAUAUAGUAAAAAUUGAAAAUUCAAUUGUAAAUUGUUACCGAGAGUGUUGAAUUUCAAAGGUGAGUAAAGAAUAUAUUUGCCUAUUGAUCUUCUGAGAAAGAAUUUGGUCAAGGGAAAAAAUGGUGUUAACUAUGGCUUCAAAUGGAACUGGCUAUUAUUUUCUUUUCUUUUC